CAUGCCUUUGGACAUGCUGUUCCUUCUGCCUGGAAUUUCCUUGUCCGCCUGGUGAACUCCUCGUUCUGCAAGACUCCGCUCAAAACAGCACCUUCGAGAAGACUGCCCUGCCCCUUCCCUGCCCUGCCCCAUGUCCCCCUCCCUUGGGUCCCCAGAGCCACGCACAUCCAGCCCUGCUUCCCACACACGGGGCCGUGCGUGCCUUUCUUCACCACUGAGCUCCUUCAAGGGCAGGGACUGUCUUUAUCUUUGCAUCCCCCGCUGCACCCUGUGCCUGCCCACUGGGCACUCGGUGGAUGGUGUGCGGGCGGAUGGGUGAGUGAGCGGACAAAGGUCCCGCAGCCCCCGGAAGCCAAUAGACUCCCUUAGGGACUCUCGGUCCCUCAGCUACUCGCCUGUGGAGCGUCGCCGUCCCUCGCCUCAGCCCUCGCCACGGGACCAGCAGAGCAGCAGCAGUGAGCGGGGUUCCCGGAGAGGCCAGCGUGGGGACAGCCGCUCCCCCAGCCACAAGCGCAGGAGGGAGACACCUAGCCCUCGGCCCAUGAGACACCGCUCCUCCAGGUCUCCAUAAAUUGUCUUUGGGGGAUUCCACCACACCCAAUGCUUUGGAGCCACAGGAGUGUCCCUUCUUCCCCAG
rnacentral:sRNA from 1 species